rnacentral:rRNA from 1 species
AACGAACGCUGGCGGCAUGCCUAACACAUGCAAGUCGAACGAGACCUUCGGGUCUAGUGGCGCACGGGUGCGUAACGCGUGGGAACCUGCCCUUAGGUUCGGAAUAACUCCCCGAAAGGGGUUCUAAUACCGGAUAAUGUCUUCGGACCAAAGAUUUAUCGCCUUUGGAUGGGCCCGCGUUGGAUUAGCUAGUUGGUAGGGUAAAAGCCUACCAAGGCGACGAUCCAUAGCUGGUCUGAGAGGAUGAUCAGCCACACUGGGACUGAGACACGGCCCAGACUCCUACGGGAGGCAGCAGUGGGGAAUAUUGGACAAUGGGCGAAAGCCUGAUCCAGCAAUGCCGCGUGAGUGAUGAAGGCCUUAGGGUUGUAAAUCUCUGUUACCCGGGAUGAUAAUGACAGUACCGGGAGAAUAAGCUCCGGCUAACUCCGUG